UACAGAGGGUGCAAGCGUUCUCCGGAAUUACUGGGCGUAAAGCGUGCGUAGGCGGUCAUGUAAGUCGGGUGUGAAAGCCCCGGGCUCAACCUGGGAAUUGCAUUCGAGACUGCAUGGCUAGGAUGCGGAAGAGGCGAGUGGGAUUCCUGGUGUAGCGGUGAAAUGCGCAGAUAUCAGGAGGAACACCUAUUGCGAAGGCAGCUCGCUGGGACGUUACUGACGCUGAGACGCGAAAGCGUGGGGAGCAAACAGG
rnacentral:rRNA from 1 species